ACGCUGGCGGCAGCCUACACAUGCAGUCGAACGGUACAGGAAGAAGCUUGCUUCUUUGCUGACGAGUGGCGGACGGGUGAGUAAUGUCUGGGAAACUGCCUGAUGGAGGGGGAUAACUACUGGAAACGGUAGCUAAUACCACAUAACGUCGCAAGACCAAAGAGGGGGACCUUCGGGCCUCUUGCCAUCGGAUGUGCCCAGAUGGGAUUAGCUAGUAGGUGGGGUAACGGCUCACCUAGGCGACGAUCCCUAGCUGGUCUGAGAGGAUGACCAGCCACACUGGAACUGAGACACGGUCCAGACUCCUACGGGAGGCAGCAGUGGGGAAUAUUGCACAAUGGGCGCAAGCCUGAUGCAGCCAUGCCGCGUGUAUGAAGAAGGCCUUCGGGUUGUAAAGUACUUUCAGCGGGGAGGAAGGGAGUAAAGUUAAUACCUUUGCUCAUUGACGUUACCCGCAGAAGAAGCACCGGCUAACUCCGUGCCAGCAGCCGCGGUAAUACGGAGGGUGCAAGCGUUAAUCGGAAUUACUGGGCGUAAAGCGCACGCAGGCGGUUUGUUAAGUCAGAUGUGAAAUCCCCGGGCUCAACCUGGGAACUGCAUCUGAUACUGGCAAGCUUGAGUCUCGUAGAGGGGGGUAGAAUUCCAGGUGUAGCGGUGAAAUGCGUAGAGAUCUGGAGGAAUACCGGUGGCGAAGGCGGCCCCCUGGACGAAGACUGACGCUCAGGUGCGAAGCGUGGGGAGCAAACAGGAUUAGAU
rnacentral:rRNA from 1 species